rnacentral:rRNA from 1 species
CCUACGGGAGACAGCAGUGGGGAAUAUUGCACAAUGGGGGAAACCCUGAUGCAGCGACGCCGCGUGAGUGAAGAAGUAUUUCGGUACGUAAAGCUCUAUCAGCAGGGAAGAAAAUGACGGUACCUGACUAAGAAGCCCCGGCUAACUACGUGCCAGCAGCCGCGGUAAUACGUAGGGGGCAAGCGUUAUCCGGAUUUACUGGGUGUAAAGGGAGCGUAGACGGCAGCGCAAGUCUGGAGUGAAAUCCCAUGGCUUAACCAUGGAACUGCUUUGGAAACUGUGGAGCUAGAGUGCAGGAGAGGUAAGCGGAAUUCCUAGUGUAGCGGUGAAAUGCGUAGAUAUUAGGAGGAACACCAGUGGCGAAGGCGGCUUACUGGACUGUAACUGACGUUGAGGCUCGAAAGCGUGGGGAGCAAACAGGAUUAGAUACCCUAGUAGUC